CACGUGGAGAGUUUUGAUUGCCCUUAUAUAUGAUAAAAGGGAUUUUUCAUUUCAGUGGGGCGAAGGCAGCUUGAUCAGAUGGCCUUGGGACAGUUGGCUGUCUGGAAAGGCGUAGAUGUAUGCUUUGCCCCUGAUGAAGUUCUGACAGAUUAGAGCGCUAAAUGUACAAUACUAAAGUACAAGAAAAACAGAACAUUUCUGUAACUUUGGCUUGAGGCACACUUUCUUAAGCAGUACACAUAACGCAGGAGGUGACAUUAAACUGAGUAACACUUCUGUGUGAAACCAUCAGUUACGAGAUAAAUGAAAGACUGAAGAAAAACGUUUGCAACAAAUAUGACAAAGGGCAAUACUCGCUAAUACUAAAAGUACCGU
rnacentral:lncRNA from 1 species